rnacentral:rRNA from 1 species
GAUGAACGCUGGCGGCGUGCCUAAUACAUGCAAGUCGAGCGAAUGGAUUGAGAGCUUGCUCUUAUGAAGUUAGCGGCGGACGGGUGAGUAACACGUGGGUAACCUGCCCAUAAGACUGGGAUAACUCCGGGAAACCGGGGCUAAUACCGGAUAACAUUUUGAACCGCAUGGUUCGAAAUUGAAAGGCGGCUUCGGCUGUCACUUAUGGAUGGACCCGCGUAGCAUUAGCUAGUUGGUGAGGUAACGGCUAACCAAGGCAACGUUGCGUAGCCGACCUGAGAGGGGGAUCGGCCACACUGGGACUGAGACACGGCCCAGACUCCUACGGGAGGCAGCAGUAGGGAAUCUUCCGCAAUGGACGAAAGUCUGACGGAGCAACGCCGCGUGAGUGAUGAAGGCUUUCGGGUCGUAAAACUCCGUUGUUAGGGAAGAACAAGUGCUAGUUGAAUAAGCUGGCACCUUGACGGUACCUAACCAGAAAGCCACGGCUAACUACGUGCCAGCCGCCGCGGUAA